rnacentral:rRNA from 1 species
AGCGUACACGGUGGAUGCCCUGGCAGUCAGAGGCGAUGAAGGACGUGCUAAUCUGCGAUAAGCGUCGGUAAGGUGAUAUGAACCGUUAUAACCGGCGAUUUCCGAAUGGGGAAACCCAGUGUGAUUCGUCACACUAUCAUUAACUGAAUCCAUAGGUUAAUGAGGCGAACCGGGGGAACUGAAACAUCUAAGUACCCCGAGGAAAAGAAAUCAACCGAGAUUCCCCCAGUAGCGGCGAGCGAACGGGGAGCAGCCCAGAGCCUGAAUCAGUAUGUGUGUUAGUGGAAGCGUCUGGAAAGGCGCGCGAUACAGGGUGACAGCCCCGUACACAAAAAUGCACAUGCUGUGAGCUCGAUGAGUAGGGCGGGACACGUGGUAUCCUGUCUGAAUAUGGGGGGACCAUCCUCCAAGGCUAAAUACUCCUGACUGACCGAUAGUGAACCAGUACCGUGAGGGAAAGGCGAAAAGAACCCCGGCGAGGGGAGUGAAAAAGAACCUGAAACCGUGUACGUACAAGCAGUGGGAGCACAGAGCAAUCUGUGUGACUGCGUACCUUUUGUAUAAUGGGUCAGCGACUUAUAUUCUGUAGCAAGGUUAACCGAAUAGGGGAGCCGAAGGGAAACCGAGUCUUAACUGGGCGUUAAGUUGCAGGGUAUAGACCCGAAACCCGGUGAUCUAGCCAUGGGCAGGUUGAAGGUUGGGUAACACUAACUGGAGGACCGAACCGACUAAUGUUGAAAAAUUAGCGGAUGACUUGUGGCUGGGGGUGAAAGGCCAAUCAAACCGGGAGAUAGCUGGUUCUCCCCGAAAGCUAUUUAGGUAGCGCCUCGUGAAUUCAUCUCCGGGGGUAGAGCACUGUUUCGGCAAGGGGGUCAUCCCGACUUACCAACCCGAUGCAAACUGCGAAUACCGGAGAAUGUUAUCACGGGAGACACACGGCGGGUGCUAACGUCCGUCGUGAAGAGGGAAACAACCCAGACCGCCAGCUAAGGUCCCAAAGUCAUGGUUAAGUGGGAAACGAUGUGGGAAGGCCCAGACAGCCAGGAUGUUGGCUUAGAAGCAGCCAUCAUUUAAAGAAAGCGUAAUAGCUCACUGGUCGAGUCGGCCUGCGCGGAAGAUGUAACGGGGCUAAACCAUGCACCGAAGCUGCGGCAGCGACGCUUAUGCGUUGUUGGGUAGGGGAGCGUUCUGUAAGCCUGUGAAGGUGUGCUGUGAGGUAUGCUGGAGGUAUCAGAAGUGCGAAUGCUGACAUAAGUAACGAUAAAGCGGGUGAAAAGCCCGCUCGCCGGAAGACCAAGGGUUCCUGUCCAACGUUAAUCGGGGCAGGGUGAGUCGACCCCUAAGGCGAGGCCGAAAGGCGUAGUCGAUGGGAAACAGGUUAAUAUUCCUGUACUUGGUGUUACUGCGAAGGGGGGACGGAGAAGGCUAUGUUGGCCGGGCGACGGUUGUCCCGGUUUAAGCGUGUAGGCUGGUUUUCCAGGCAAAUCCGGAAAAUCAAGGCUGAGGCGUGAUGACGAGGCACUACGGUGCUGAAGCAACAAAUGCCCUGCUUCCAGGAAAAGCCUCUAAGCAUCAGGUAACAUCAAAUCGUACCCCAAACCGACACAGGUGGUCAGGUAGAGAAUACCAAGGCGCUUGAGAGAACUCGGGUGAAGGAACUAGGCAAAAUGGUGCCGUAACUUCGGGAGAAGGCACGCUGAUAUGUAGGUGAAGCGACUUGCUCGUGGAGCUGAAAUCAGUCGAAGAUACCAGCUGGCUGCAACUGUUUAUUAAAAACACAGCACUGUGCAAACACGAAAGUGGACGUAUACGGUGUGACGCCUGCCCGGUGCCGGAAGGUUAAUUGAUGGGGUCAGCGCAAGCGAAGCUCUUGAUCGAAGCCCCGGUAAACGGCGGCCGUAACUAUAACGGUCCUAAGGUAGCGAAAUUCCUUGUCGGGUAAGUUCCGACCUGCACGAAUGGCGUAAUGAUGGCCAGGCUGUCUCCACCCGAGACUCAGUGAAAUUGAACUCGCUGUGAAGAUGCAGUGUACCCGCGGCAAGACGGAAAGACCCCGUGAACCUUUACUAUAGCUUGACACUGAACAUUGAGCCUUGAUGUGUAGGAUAGGUGGGAGGCUUUGAAGUGUGGACGCCAGUCUGCAUGGAGCCGACCUUGAAAUACCACCCUUUAAUGUUUGAUGUUCUAACGUUGACCCGUAAUCCGGGUUGCGGACAGUGUCUGGUGGGUAGUUUGACUGGGGCGGUCUCCUCCUAAAGAGUAACGGAGGAGCACGAAGGUUGGCUAAUCCUGGUCGGACAUCAGGAGGUUAGUGCAAUGGCAUAAGCCAGCUUGACUGCGAGCGUGACGGCGCGAGCAGGUGCGAAAGCAGGUCAUAGUGAUCCGGUGGUUCUGAAUGGAAGGGCCAUCGCUCAACGGAUAAAAGGUACUCCGGGGAUAACAGGCUGAUACCGCCCAAGAGUUCAUAUCGACGGCGGUGUUUGGCACCUCGAUGUCGGCUCAUCACAUCCUGGGGCUGAAGUAGGUCCCAAGGGUAUGGCUGUUCGCCAUUUAAAGUGGUACGCGAGCUGGGUUUAGAACGUCGUGAGACAGUUCGGUCCCUAUCUGCCGUGGGCGCUGGAGAACUGAGGGGGGCUGCUCCUAGUACGAGAGGACCGGAGUGGACGCAUCACUGGUGUUCGGGUUGUCAUGCCAAUGGCACUGCCCGGUAGCUAAAUGCGGAAGAGAUAAGUGCUGAAAGCAUCUAAGCACGAAACUUGCCCCGAGAUGAGUUCU